GACGAACGCUGGCGGCGUGCUUAACACAUGCAAGUCGAACGGAAAGGCCCUGCUUUUGUGGGGUGCUCGAGUGGCGAACGGGUGAGUAACACGUGAGUAACCUGCCCUUGACUUUGGGAUAACUUCAGGAAACUGGGGCUAAUACCGGAUAGGAGCUCCUGCUGCAUGGUGGGGGUUGGAAAGUUUCGGCGGUUGGGGAUGGACUCGCGGCUUAUCAGCUUGUUGGUGGGGUAGUGGCUUACCAAGGCUUUGACGGGUAGCCGGCCUGAGAGGGUGACCGGAGGGAAGGGGAGGGAGGGACGGAGGAGAGGACGACGGGAGGAAGGAGGGGGGAAGAGUGAAGAAGGGCUGGAGGAUGGAAGCAGCAGAGGCGGGGGGGGGAGGAGGGGCGGCGGGGUGGAAAAAGGGGUCGCCUGUGAAGGAGGGGGAGGGAGGGGGAUAGGUAAAGAAGAAAGGGCGGAAUAAGGC
rnacentral:rRNA from 1 species